GGGGUGCGGGGAAGGAGGCCCUGGAGCCUUUCUUCUCCCGGACGCCUGGACCCUCCAAGCACCUCCACACGCACACACCCAUGCACCCCGGAGACUGCAGGGGGCCAGAUCCGCAGGCGCUGAGUCAGCCCUGCCGACUGAUGUGCUGAGGGCACUAGACUACCUGGAAUGGGGCUUGAGAAGGUUCUGUAGGACGUUGGAGUCAGUCCCCACCCCACUGUGUAGACACACGCCAGGGCAAUGGGUCCACCACUUUGCUGUAUGGCAGACACAUCUUUUCCUUGGGUUGCAGCAGCCCGUCCAAAGAGCGGCUAUUCUCACACGGCUCAGACACUCUGAAACUGAACCACAAGCCUGGUCUGUGAACUCUCUCCCCUCUGUGGAUGAUCACACCGCGAAACCUGUUGCCGUGAACAUCUCCACGGGGAUUUCCUGUGGAGAGGAUUGCCACAGCAGAGGCGCUGCACAUGAAGGCCGGAGCUCCGCCCUGGAGAGCCAGGAUCCUUUCACCUACUCCAACAAGGCCGCACCUAAUCCUCUUCACAGCCGUCCAGGCUUCAGUGAUGCAAGACUGACGUCCAAGACACUAAGUCCUUACAGCUUAGCGUCAGCCAGCUUUCCAGCAGAGGCCAGUCAACACACGCAAACGCUGUAUGAUUUGUGUCUCUCUAAUUCUUUAGUGUCUUUUCCUACACUUAGCAGCUUAGAUUUUUCAUCUGUUUACCUGUUUGUGGUUUGGCCACUUUUCUUUAAAUUUUUUUGUUGUUGUUUUAUGUGUAUGUGUGUGUGCCUGAUUGUAUGUCUGUAUACCACAUGAGUACAGGAGUCU